UAUGCAAAUUGAAAGCAGUGUUGCAAAACAGUCGGCUGCAUUGCUGAAGUCCGACAACACAGAAAAAUUGCCAAUUUGACAAAUGAGUUUAUUUAACAUUGGAAAAAUUUGUGAACAUUUGUGCUCCUCACUGUUAAGGUGUCUCCACAUGAUAUGCAAUUUGCGCAGAGAGCAAAGCGUAGCGCGGGUAUUCUUCAUUGAGGAUGGCAAGGAAGCUAUUUCCCGUUGCUAGGUAACAAAAGCGGCAACUAGGUCUAUGUGUGCGGCGCAAAGUGGCAAAUCCAAGCUCGCCCUAUAGGAAAUCAAUGGAGCGCCUGGCGCAAAGCAGUUUGCCGCCUAUCAUGUGUCAGCGGUUUUAGUCUUCAGAGUUGCUGACAGACAGUUUGGAAAACAUUUAUUGAAAUUGUAUUUAAAAAAUGACAUUUUACCAAAUCUACUCGGGGAAAACUCUUUGGGAAAUGCUGAUAGUUGACAGCGUCACUAACUGCUUUAACAUACACAUUCUUUAAUUACCACUAGAUGCUUUAUCCAAAAAUGUACUAUAUUAAUGUCAUUUUUG